rnacentral:lncRNA from 1 species
ACCUCUUUCAUAUCCCUGAGUCCCUGCGAUGCUGUGACCUUACCUCCUCCUUUCAACCUGUCUUCAGGAUUAGGAUCAAUACCUGCUGCUUGGCUUUUAUUCAAGUGAUGGAUAGCUUUGGAAACUCUUAUCUGGGCUGGUUUGCUGUCUCCAUCUGAUACUUCAAACUGACCUUCAGCCUAGGAGUCUUAAAAAAAAUGUCCAUGUUUUAAGGAAAGAUGGAUGAUCCUCUCUGUUUUAAACAAGAAGGAAAAUCUUUUGAUCAGAAUGGAAGCAAUGGAGGAAUUUGGUUCUGUUUUGUUUCAAGAAGUCUUUAAAAACCUGUGAAUAGGUUAUCCUUCUUUCCUUUAAUUAUGUUUGUGUCCCAAAUUCAGUAAAGAACUGGCUAGGAGAAGAGAAGGUCAGUAGCAGUAGCAUCCCAGGUCUCAAACUAGGGCUGUACACAGAACUUCUAAACAUCUUUUUUGAAAAUUUCUCACCAGAUUAUUUUCCGCUUGUUCUUCUAGGCUCAAGAAAUACAGAGACAUCAAGAAAUAGCUGAGAUUUCAUCUAGACACUCAAAUUAGACUCCCACAGUGAAAUUAAAACUUUCCUCAAGGUUGCUCAUCCUUAUAGAUCCUAGGGAGCUUUGUACUUGGGCUUUGAGCUCAAGCGGGAAAAGAUAUGCCACAGAUUUCAUCCAGAAAUGGUCUUUUUCACCCCAUCUCCAGCAGGGAUUAGACCUACGUCUGCUGUUGCUGUGCGGGCUGGUGGACAUGAGGUCAGUAGAGCCAGCAGUGAGAACAAGCCAAUGGUUGGGAAGUGGGGGCAGGUGAGGGCAGACAGGAGCCUGGGAAAAGGAGCUGGAAUCUGCUUCCCUUUCUCUCCGGAACCCACUUCAGCCUCUCAGCACCUUCAAGUGUCCAGUUCCAGCAGAGAACUGGCAUAUGUCACCAGGAAGCCCUCACGCACCUGCCCUGGACUCAGGGAGGCUCAAGGAAGAGGUUCUGUGGAGGCUGGAGGAGCUGUGGGUGGGGCAGAUGCCUCACACCCGAAGAUGAGCUAACAGACUGUCCCCCAACCCCCCAGCAAGCCUGAUCUUAUUACACUGGCAAACUUUAUGUUGUUCUCACUUUCUGCCUCAUUCAUGUAUUUAAGAAAUUGUUCUUGAAGGAAAAGCGAUAGUAGAGAUUGAAUAAAUAAAUGGAAAAGGUACUUGAGACUUACCCA